rnacentral:rRNA from 1 species
UACAGAGGGGGCAAGCGUUAUUCGGAAUUAUUGGGCGUAAAGGGCGCGUAGGCGGCUUUGCAAGUGACGGGUGAAAUCCCACGGCUUAACCGUGGAACUGCCUGUCAGACUGCAUGGCUUGAGACCAGGAGAGGUGAGUGGAAUUCCCAGUGUAGCGGUGAAAUGCGUAGAUAUUGGGAGGAACACCAGUGGCGAAGGCGACUUUCUGGACAGAUACUGACACUGAGGCACGAAAGCGUGGGGAGCAAACAGG